CUGCUGGAGCAGCUGAUGAUAUACUGCUAAUAGCACAAGAACUAUGACUCAACUGCUUUACCUACCUCUUGUAAGCAAUUGAAAAGCCAAUUACCAGACAGUUCAUCAGGUUAUUAUGUAUUAACAUCAACUAAUGGAUCAGCUGAUUUUGCUGCUUACUGUAUGAUUUUGCUGCAUUCUUAUGUCGUCGUAUGAGAUAAUCGAAUUUUGAUACUAUUGGCUUGCCAUAUGUCUGGACCCGUUUAACUUUUCUUUUUUCAGUCUUUUGUUUCAAGGUUAAGACAGACAAUAUGAGCAGAGCUUUAAGGAAAGCAGUUUGAAAACUUGAAGGAAAAGAAAGAGAUCCAUCUUGCAGAUGAAGGGAUAUCAGCCCUUGAAGACGUACCGGAGCUAUUUUCUGCUUGUCACAUUACUAAACUGAUAUUGAGCCAUAACAGAAAGAAUCAUUGUUUUUAAAAUUCUAAUUAUGCAUACAAUGAUCAGAGUUAGUCUACCUGCGGAAAUAUUGAGCCUAACUGGACUCGAAUAUCUUAAUCUUUUUAAUAACCAGCUUGAGGAUUUGCCCAGUACAAUAAGUACUCUACCAAAACUGAGGGAGC